rnacentral:rRNA from 1 species
UACGGCGGGAGCUAGCGUUGUUCGGAAUUACUGGGCGUAAAGCGCGCGUAGGCGGCUUUGUAAGUUAGAGGUGAAAGCCCGGGGCUCAACCCCGGAAUUGCCUUUAAGACUGCAUCGCUUGAAUCCGGGAGAGGUGAGUGGAAUUCCGAGUGUAGAGGUGAAAUUCGUAGAUAUUCGGAAGAACACCAGUGGCGAAGGCGGCUCACUGGACCGGCAUUGACGCUGAGGUGCGAAAGCGUGGGGAGCAAACAGG